CUCCUUCUUCUUCUUCUUUUUUUCUUAUUCUUCUCCUACUUCUUUUUUUUUUCUUCUUCUUCUUCUCCUUCUUCUUCUUUCUGCUGCUGCUACUGCUUUUGGGAGUGUUUUUAUCAAUGACAAGUGUGCUCAUAUUUAUAGUAAUAGUUAAUUAGUCAUUUGCCAAUUUUGAAAUCGGAUUUGGUUAAUUUUAUAUUGAAGUUUUACAAUAUGUUCGGUAAUAAUUAUUUGAAAAUAUAUUUAUUUUUAUUUUUUGGUAAACAUGG
rnacentral:lncRNA from 1 species